rnacentral:rRNA from 1 species
UACAGGGGGUGCAAACGUUGCUCGGAAUCAUUGGGCGUAAAGCGUGUGCAGGCGGGGAGACAAGUGGUGUAUGAAAUUUCCCGGCUUAACCGGGAAGGGUUAUGCCAGACUGUCUUUCUGGAGUGCGAGAGAGGGGCGUGGAAUUCCGGGUGUAGUGGUGAAAUGCGUAGAUAUCUGGAGGAACACCGAUGGCGAAGGCAGGUCUCUGGGCCGAUACUGACGCUGAGGAGCGAAAGCGUGGGGAGCGAACAGG